UGCGAGUGUCGUUUUUCUAUCGAUAAACGACUUUUAUCGAUAGUCGAACAUCAAAAAUACAUUUUGGUAUUGCGAAACUCUAUUGUGAAUGAAAAUUUUCGUCUAGGCUUUCGAUCGUUAUCGUCUGCAUAUUUCUGUUCGACUGCGUACAACGCGUAUAAUUUUUUGGACAAAAAUGGCAAAAGUUGUGAGCAGUAAAAAACAAUUAGAAAAGCUGGUUUCAUUAAUGGAAGCGAAUCCGGACAUCGCUAAAGGAAUUUGCGGAAAAGCCAUAGCAAAAAAAAGGUGGGAAAAGUUUACUGCAGAGCUAAACAGUCUUGGGCCUCCUAUACGCACCUGUGAUAAAUGGAUUAAUGUUUGGGCAGAUCUAAAAUUUAAAAUAAAAAAAAAGGACUGAAAAUAAGACCGAGAUCCAGGCGACUGGUGGUGGGCCCAACCGUUUGCACCAGUUCAGUAACUUGGAGGAAAGUGUAAUGGGAUUACUUUUUAUGGAUGUCUCCAUUGAUCCACCUGGCCUGGAGAUUGGACUAGAAAUUCCAGACAGCCUAAAGAAUAAUGAGAAUGACAUUAAUAAGGACAAUAUGGAAGUCGAAGAAGACCCAGAUAUGAUUAAUAUUGAUUUGUCCGAAAAUUUUUCAUCGGAGAAUUCAACUCGCUUUAGAAGUUCUGAGAAAAAAAGAACAAAAAAAACAAACGAAGACGAAAGAAUUGCACUUUUGAUGAAGCAAACAGAUGCUCAAGAAGAUUUUCAUAAGGAAGUCAAAGCUGCAAUAAAAGAUCUGAAAAGGAAAAUUGGAAGCUUCGAAGAGUAUUCCAAGAAGAUUUAUUAUCAAAAAAAAGAUAAACAUAAGGAUCUACUGGCUAUCAAGAGGGAAAAACUCCAACUUUAUAAGGACGAAUUGAAUUGCAAACAAAAAAAUAGGGCAGCGAAGCUAAAACUGUUGCAACAAAAAUUGGAACUAAAAAAAUCUGAAAUCGAUUUAAAGUUGUCAAAGAUUUAAAUCCUCUUUUUUUUUGUAUGAUUUUUGGUUCGUAAGUGUUCCUUUUCUGUUAAACUGAAGUAUUUUUUGU